UUCUGGCUCAGGAUGAACGCUGGCGGCGUGCCUAACACAUUCAAGUCGAACGAACUGUAGAAAUACAGUGAGUGGCGGACGGGUGAGUAACGCGUAAGCAAUCUGCCUUUGUGUGUGGAAUAACAACCGGAAACAGUUGCUAAUACCGCAUAACGCAUAGGAGUCGCAUGGCUCUUAUGCCAAAGAUUUAUCGCACGAAGAUGAGCUUGCGUCCGAUUAGAUAGUUGGCGGGGUAACGGCCCACCAAGUCUGCGAUCGGUAGCCGGACUGAGAGGUUGAACGGCCACAUUGGAACUGAGAUACGGUCAAGACUCCUACGGGAGGCAGCAGUGGGGAAUAUUGGGCAAUGGACGAAAGUCUGACCCAGCGACGCCGCGUGAGGGAAGAAGGUCUUCGGAUUGUAAACCUUAGUCAACAGGGACGAAGCAAGUGACGGUACCUGUGGAGGAAGCCACGGCUAACUACGUGCCAGCCGCCGC
rnacentral:rRNA from 1 species